GUAGGUGGCAAGCGUUGUCCGGAACUAUUGGGCGUAAAGCGCGCGCAGGUGGGUUCUUUAAGUCUGGUGUGAAAGCCCCCGGGCUCAACCGGGGAGGGUCAUUGGAAACUGGGGAACUUGAGUGCAGGAGAGGAAAGUGGAAUUCCACGUGUAGCGGUGAAAUGCGUAGAUAUGUGGAGGAACACCAGUGGCGAAGGCGACUUUCUGGCCUGUAACUGACACUGAGGCGCGAAAGCGUGGGGAGCAAACAGGAUUAGAUACCCUGGUAGUCCACGCCGUAAACGAUGAGUGCUAAGUGUUGGGGGGUUUCCGCCCCUCAGUGCUGCAGCUAACGCAUUAAGCACUCCGCCUGGGGAGUACGGUCGCAAAGACUG
rnacentral:rRNA from 1 species